rnacentral:misc_RNA from 1 species
AUCUUCUUCUAUUGCGUUUUUGCACACAAAAGCGCAUGCGAGUCCAUGGGUUUGAUUGACAUGCCCUGUCAAUCUUACCUUAAAUGUAUGAGCUGGAGAUCAGUCAGGUUGCUAAGGCAUUUUAAACCUGCGUAAACGGUCUCUGCUUUUUAAAUUAAAUUAUUAAC